rnacentral:lncRNA from 1 species
UACACUGAAAAAAAUACCUAGUAAAUAUUACUAGUUUGGCUAGUACUUCAUUAAAAGUCCCUAGUAGAUUAUCAAACAACUAAUUAGACUAGUAUGUUUACUAUCGUGGAUGCAUCGUAUUACCAGGAACCAGCUGUGCAACUGAUAACAGGAUUUCCCGCCGGACGAUAUCAUAUUCGCGUGGCCAAGUUCUGUUGUACAUGAAGUGAUGGCCGCAAUCAAACGAAUAAAGAAUCUGAGUGAUUUUUGGCCUGAUUCAUUGAAAAGCUGUAAGUAUUUUAACUAAUUUGUGUUUUAUUUUAUCGUCUUAACUUGUUUACACAAAAAAAGAACCACAUCAUCUCGCCUUUCACGUAAAAUAAAAUGUACUACAGAAGAUGGUCAAGAUAACCUUGUGACACGUGGAACAAACUUUAUCUAUUUAAGUUAAGAUUUACAAGAUGCAGAUUUCGUUAUUCUAAUAUUAACACCUUUUCUUCUUUUUUUUUAAUACGAAAACUAAUUAAUAAUCCUUCUAUUUCACCACCACAGAAAACCGUAACUUAAAUCCGAAACGUUUUAUGAUUAUAUAAUUAAAGUGCGCCUCGUUAUGAAAUUAAUAUGGCUGCGCCCAUGUAGUGAAAAAAUAUGAACCUGCCAAAACUAUAAACACAGUCAAUACAUGGUAUAUCUUCAAUAUUUUCACAUCAAAUAUGAAAUUGAGAAACAUUUGAAAGCACCACAGAAUGUACUUGAUGACAUACAUGCACCAUGUAGGUGUACACUUGCAUCUUGACUCUGAGUGCACAAAUGCAUUCUAAUUUCAAACAAGUAAUAGCUUUUCUAAAAAGCUAGCCGUCUCUUAGCUUCAGGAUGAAAGUAGAAAGUGUUAAAAUUCAUAAAGGCUAAUACAAUUUUUCCUAAUUUACUAAUGUUUUUUUGGGAUAAUUUACCAACACUGGAUUAGAAAGGGUGUGAUGCCUUAACUGUUUUUUUUAAAUUAAAUAUGAAAAUAUUUAUAAAAGUAUAUUUUAAACAUGGCUCUGGGAUAAUUAUUGUUUUUGCCAGUAUUUUAACUCUCUGUAUAGCAGUAUAAUUGUAGAUUUAAUAUUAAUGCAUACAUAUUACACUCGUUAAUGUCUUACUUGAAAUACUUGUAUGCAAUUGCAUUAAAAAGCUAUAAAAAAAAAGCACAUAAAUGUUCAGUGUGUAUCUAUAUAUGUCUGACAUGAUGACUCACCUAUCACACAUAAGAAACAAAGUGAAAUAUAGUUUUUUAAAUACAAUGUAUUAGUAGAAAUUGACAGUAGAGUUCUAGUUAAUCUAUAUUAAUUAAUAUUGACAACACUACAUGUACAUGUAGUUUUAUUAUGGAUUUUUGUAUAAUUUCAGGUUCUGAAAAAAAUCACAGGGGAUGAUAAAUUUAGACAAGAAGGAUCGACCACCAACAUGCUACACUUACUGGAACUUGAAAAACCUGCAAUUCACAAGAACAAGCCAAAGACUAGUAUUACCGUACAAAGUGGUUGAGGGUAUGGUCCCAGCUAUCCAAACCUGACAAAUUAUUGGUAACAAGCAAUCUUUACCAAAAAGGAACAUCAAGCCGACACGCUUUGCAGACUUUGAAAGUGAUAAUUUAUAAAUUUGGUUAAGGCUAUUGAAACAACAAACUGUGAAAACGAGCAAUUUAAAAACACAUUCUUCGUCAAAACUGUGAUUCAUUGAAAGAAGACGUAGUGUGCGCCAAGUCAGUUGAGAGCUUCAAAACAGCUCACCAAGGCCGUCAAUAGGAGUCCGCUCUCCCGUCAAGUUCAAGCCAGAAUUGGGACCUUCGAUGUAACAAUGCAGAUACAUAUAGCAUGAAAAGUUUUAUAUAAUGAACAUUUAUAUUUAUAUCUAUUGAUGUUUCAGUACAAGUAUGAUUAUUUGUUUUUGUUGUGAUCUAUGACAUACAUGUAUAGUAUAAACAAUUUUGAGAAAGUGUUAUCUGUAUACAUGACAGUUCCGUGAAAAUGUUAACCAACUUUUGUGUCAACUUAUUCAUUCAUCUAAAAACUGAUACAAGCCAAUAUUAGAAUUCAAUCAAUAGAUUAAGACUAUAAAAUCAGUUUUGACCUAGGCCUGUUCAAGUUUAUUAAGGUCAAAAUAAGAUAAAACAAAGUUUCAUAAUAUAAAAUAUCAAUGUAGGAGCAAACGGUGAAAAUGAUUUAGAUCCUAGUGCAAUAUGAGAUGGGUGACAUGUAUUUAGAUCCUGGUGCUCUAGAGGGGUGACAUUGAGUUGGAUCUGUUUGCUCAAACUAAAAUUUACAGUGCUUUAAAAAAUGAUAAGUGAUCAUGCUUUAUAAAGUUAUAAACUGUUACAAUCUGUAUACAUGUACUUACUUCCUGACAAUUUUAUUUUUACUUCUAAGUGUUUUAAAAUGUAAACUUUGAAGUAGGAAGACAUAAAAUAACUGAUAAGUCUUACUUUGUUCUUUUUUUUAAAAUAAAUAUUCGAGGGAGAGUUUAUUCAUUUUGGUUUUGCAGGGAGAGCUGAUUGAUUUAAACAGGGGCCGUGCAAUAACUAGAUGGGUUAUAAUUUAUUACAUAAACUGACGUUUUAAAUUUUUUUCAUCGAAAUAACUUUAGAAUUGUAAACUGAAUAUUCUAAAUACAUGUAUGAAAUAUUGUUAAUAUUGAUUAGGGUACAGCUUAUUAAUGGUUUUGAAACAUGAAUUUAAAUGGUUACUUUGAAGUAAAUUGAGAACAUGUUACCUAUUUGUUUGUUGUUGGUUGGA